CUCGAGAUUCCUCCGACCUUCCUCAACCCCCUCCCCGUAUCGUAAGCAUCCAUAGUACGAUAGUUCGUAGUGUAGUCGUUCGUCCAGUGUUUUGAAAAAAACGCGCAGGAAUAGAUUGUGCACGUGGUUGCCUGUAUUAUACGGACGGCCUUCAGUGUUAAGGACGAAUGCUUUACGGUGUCCUGCCUUGUUGAAUGGUUUGCAUAAGUGUAACAACGCCUUGAACUUGAGUGCUCGGAACUAUUGCAUUUGCAUACUCUGUUGGAUUCGCUAACCGGACCGAAGCACUUUCCAGGUGAUUUAUGUUCGCCGCGAAGCAGUGUACAGUACAUUCGCUGAUACCAGCCCUGCACGCAGCUCCGCGAGCGAGCCCCGAGCUGUGUACAAACAGAUUCACUUUGGACUUUAUUGCCUAUCUCUUAAUUAUCAUCAAGAAGAAUAUCGCGAUCAGCACACGGCGUACUAAGCAAUAAGUAGUGUAAUGGUAGACAGUGCCGCGUCCGGAAGAUUCGCUAGUGCUCCUUAGCGGCGACGAAACGGCUGACCCAUGCGUGUGCGAGCCCCCAGGUGUGUUGAGUCGAACAAUGUGCAGUGUAAUUGCGUGUGCCGCGAAUGUCCUCCGCGAGUGAUGCAAUUAGAGCACCUGUAGAGCAGUACCUGCCGACCUACACUGGAGUGUGAUUCAAUUAACGCACGAGGAACAUGCGAAUCAAAUGUAGAAUGUCGCGUCUGGACUAACUCGAUUUCCAGUGAUGUGAAAAGUGGAAAGUUUUAAUUACACAGUUGAAGUGCACCGUAGACCAUUUUCCCGGUAAACUUAUGUCCCUGCGAGUGGAAGCUGCAUCACAGAUAAAUCCCAAGCUGGAGCUCGAAACGGUCGAGAGUGUGGCGGAGCAUCCAUCGGCGGAAUGGCUCAAUUCUGUGAAUUCAAGUGCCGAGUUGGAGUGCUUGUUGAAGGCGAACAGUGACACUGAACAGGAACAGAGCCAAGGAUGCCCGCCAUCGUAUGAUUCAGUGCUUUGCUGGCCAAGGACUCCACCGAAUACUCUUGCAGUGCUGCCAUGCUUUAAGGAAUUCAAAGGAGUGCAGUAUGACAGUACACACAAUGCCACCCGCUUCUGUCAUGCAAACAGCACCUGGGAUAAUUACUCUAGUUACGAUCAAUGCCAUCAUGUGAUCAAACCAUCUAAUCUUCCUGAUUUCUCACCAAGUGUUGAGCUGCCAACUUUGAUCUAUUGUUCCGGGUACUUUUUAAGUCUGAUAGGUUUAACAUUAGCAUUACUUGUUUUCGUUUAUUUCAAGAUAUUUCCUUCCAGAGACUUGAAAUGCCUUCGAAAUACGAUACAUGCGAAUUUAUUUUUAACAUAUAUUUUAUCAGCAUUACUGUGGAUACUGACACUAUUUUUGCAAGUGUUAAUAGAUGAUCCCGGUGCAGCAAGUUGUACACUAUUAGUUAUUUUAUUUCAUUAUUUUAAUCUGACCAACUUUUUCUGGAUGUUAGUCGAAGGACUGUAUUUGUACACCCUAGUUGUGCUGACCUUCUCUAGUGAUAAUAUCAAAUUUUGGGUAUAUGCUUUCAUAGGAUGGGGAUGUCCGGCUCUAGUGGUUCUAACCUGGUCAAUCUGUAAAGUAUUCACCAUUCCGCUCGAUUCGGAACGUUUUAACGGGCUGGAAAUUGAAUGUUCAUGGAUGCGUGAAUCGACGGUGGAUUGGAUAUUCCAAGGCCCAGCCUGUAUGGUUUUAAUCCUAAACUUAAUUUUCCUAAUGCGGAUUAUGUGGGUACUUAUCACAAAGUUACGUUCUGCCAACACACUGGAAACCCGUCAGUAUCGGAAGGCAUCGAAGGCGCUCCUCGUCCUAAUCCCACUACUGGGAAUCACUUAUUUAUUGGUUUUAACUGGACCGGAAUUUGGAAUUGGCAGAUAUAUGUUUGACGUAAUCCGGGCAUUUUUGAUAAGCUCUCAGGGAUUUUCAGUUUCGCUAUUUUACUGUUUUCUCAAUUCGGAAGUGAGACUUGCUCUUCGUCAUAAACUGGAUCGGUGGAGAGAUGAAAGGAAUAUAAACAGCGGACAGUCAACAAGAAAUCGCAGGAUCAAACUUCUCAAUAGGCAAGGUAUUCCCAGUAUUUGUUGAAUUGUGCAACCUCCAUUAGGGAUAUCCUCUUCGAAGAACUUACAUUUUAAGUAAUAUCAAGACAUGGUUUGGCCAGACGAAGCAACCCCGAUUGAAAGUCCUACAAGCGAAAGAAUAACAAGUUUCAUUUUAGGACGGAAGAGUGCACCGUAUUUAUUAAAGGAUAAGUCAUUUUGACGAAAGGAUACCUUUGUGCGUGUCUAGUUAUAGAUUCCUGUAAAGUACGCUUAAGACUGAUAAUCAAAAGAACAAAAUUAAAAAGUAACCUUCACGUGUAAUGUCCUUUGCGCUUUAAAUGUAAUCGAGUCAAAAUCACUUUUAAGCAAAGAAAAAUUUAAAUUUUAAAAUCUAAUGGAAAAUAUAAGCCUAAAGAAAAUAUUGUAAUAGAUAUACAUAUAUCAAAUUGUUUAUUA
rnacentral:misc_RNA from 1 species